CCAGACUCCUACGGGAGGCAGCAGUGGGGAAUAUUGCACAAUGGGGGAAACCCUGAUGCAGCGACGCCGCGUGAGCGAUGAAGUAUUUCGGUAUGUAAAGCUCUAUCAGCAGGGAAGAAGAUGACGGUACCUGACUAAGAAGCCCCGGCUAACUACGUGCCAGCAGCCGCGGUAAUACGUAGGGGGCAAGCGUUAUCCGGAUUUACUGGGUGUAAAGGGAGCGUAGACGGCGAUGCAAGCCAGAUGUGAAAGGCCGGGGCUCAACCCCGGGACUGCAUUUGGAACUGUGUGGCUGGAGUGUCGGAGAGGCAGGCGGAAUUCCUAGUGUAGCGGUGAAAUGCGUAGAUAUUAGGAGGAACACCAGUGGCGAAGGCGGCCUACUGGACAGUAACUGACGUUGAGGCUCGAAAGCGUGGGGAGCAAACAGGAUUAGAUACCCCGGUACA
rnacentral:rRNA from 1 species